UUCCUACUCCCUCCGUUCUAAAUUACUCGUCACAAAAAUGAAUGUAUUUAGAAUUAAAAUACAUCUAGAUACAUCUAUACCUGCGAUAAGUAAUUUAGAACGGAGGAAGUAUUUU
rfam:Triticum aestivum genome assembly, contig: Triticum_aestivum_CS42_TGACv1_scaffold_193894_3AL